ACUUUUGGGAUAGAACUGGAAAUGUGAAUGAAGAAAAUACCUAAUUAAAAAAAUAUUUGAAAGAAAGAAAAUAAAAAGAUGUGGUUUUAAAAUGGUACCUGUUCCAGUAGAGAGAGAUGGCAGAAGUGGUAAGGGCAGGGUGAUAUAUCCAUGCCUUAAACCUCAAAUAAAUGUCAGUUUAACACAGAAUUUGACAUUCUUCAUUGUACCCAGAGAAUUAUUCCUCCCUCUCUCACCUCUCUCUUUCUCCCUUCCUCCUCCUCUCUGUCUCUCUGCCUUCUGUAUGGUCAGUUUCCCACAAUCCUUUUAGGACCCGAGCUAGCUUUUUGCAGUUCCUCAUCUUACAUAUUUUGCAGUUUACUUCCAGCGUAUUGUUGGGGAGGUAAAGAAAAUCUUGUCAUGAGAAAAAGAACACACUGCUUCCUUCCUCCAGUCCUCUAAACCCGCACCUGCCACGUCAAAGUCUUAAACCAGACACUCUGGCAAAGGGGUGGAUGGGUGGGGUUUUACCAGCACUGGCCAAUGCUUGAAGCUAGGUUGAGCCUCUGCCUUUCAUGACUCUCAGCUAGAGGGUAGUGCUUACAUGGGAAGCUUUGCUGUCUGUCAUAGGUGCACAGUGCUUUGAUUUUCUGCCUCACACUGUGCAUUGGGCAGAGUCACAUUCAUCGUUAAUUUAACUUAUUUAAUAAACACGCUGUAGAGGUUCCCAUUGAUUUUUGGUAGCAGAGUAGAUACAGCCAUUAAUUCACUUUAUUAAAAAACAAUGGCUCUCUUAUUCCUUUUCUAUUAUGCCCUUUCAUUGAGAAAGCCUAGUCUUGUCUGUGGCCAGCAGCUCCUGAGAAAAUAGCUCUCCCUCAUCCCAGACCGAAGCCUCUGCCUCCGAUGUGACUUUGGACACAGCUGAAGCUCAGUGUCCUGACUGGGAAAAUGGAGGAAAUAAAGGCUCCUGCCUCUAGUGUUAUUCCAUCAAUUCCAUGAGCUACCGGCCAGGCAGAUCACUGCUGGCACCUGUUGAGUGGUGUCUGCGAACCGGUGAUAAUGAUUCCACCAUCAGGUUGUUGGGCAGCUGGGAUUUGGUUUCAGUGUCCCGUGCUUAGCAUAGACGGUACUUCUCUUCUUGCCUCCUUUUCAAUCCCAAGCACAUCUUUCUUUUUGGAAACUUUCUGUACUCAUCCUUGCCCCAUGUUAACGGAGCAUUAUGUUUGUCUUUAUAUUUUCCUGUAGUUCAAACAUGCCUUAGAAAGAAAUGCCAUGUACAUCUCUUGCAUAUGAUAAGCAGAGGAUUAUAUAGUCAGAUUAUUCUGAGGAGGUAGUGGCGUGUGGUUCUCACUUCAAGGAAAGAAAGAGACAAAGGUUCUCUACCCUUCCUGCUGCACCAAAGGUUUUCAAUUCUCUUAUUCUGUUUACUCUCCAAGUAUCGUGACUCUACUUCCCAUAUCUGUACCUGCAGCAUCCCAUGCCUAGCUGCUUCUCAGAAACUACAGAUAGCCCUCCAUAUUAACAGGCAUGGCACCCAUACUUUUAAGUGGCUGUGGAUUGAAAAUAAAAGAACAUGAAUUAACUGUGGCUGGAUUUCCCUUCUUGUCAUCAUUUUCUGAACAAUACAGGGUAACAAUUGUUAACUUAGUUUGAUGGAAUUAAACCAGAGAUGAUGGCAUGUUGUAGUAGAAUGUGCACAGGUUGUGUGCAAAAUGACAUCAUGUUAUGUGAGGAUGUUGGAUGUCUGAGAAUGUUGGGAUGUUGGUGCAACAUUCACCAAGGAUUCCCAGGGGUAACUGAGCCUGGGAUCUCCAGGAUGUCAGGAUACUGUAACGUUUCUGGCUACUCUCUCUAACUCUGGUCCUCCUGUCUUGUCAUCUUAAUCUCGUACCUUAGGGAGCCUAACCUCAUGUCCUCAUAGAUCUUUGUUGACUCUACACUGGUCUCUAUGUUUCCUAGAAGAUGGCAUCCCAUGUCUGGCCUUUCUCUUGCUUUCUGUCUCCCAACCUCAGUCACUCUUUGUAGCUGCUCUACAUUACCUCUUUCCAGUACUUUCUCCAGUCAAGAUUUAUACUUCUGGAAUGUCUAGUACCAAUUAAUAUUUGCAAAGUUUGAACAUUCUUAAAUGUCUAUACAUGCUUCCUUGAUUAUUUAUAACUCAUUUGAUUCAGAAAUGAUUUGAUGGCACUAUUAUUUAAUAUUGACAUAAUUAGAAUUCCCUAGAAUUUACAUCCUGCCAGUAUAAUAGCUGAAAGGUUCUAAGAACAGAGAAUCAUUGAGGAGUUUCUGGCUCAUGGAUAUAUUUUACUUGUAAGUUUAAUUUUUAGGAUGAAUACAUGGCUCACUGGUCAAGCCCAUGUACUUCUCUUGCAGACCAGAGUUGGGUUCCCUGGGUUCAUAUUAGGCAGCUCACAGUUGCCUAUAACCCCAGCUCCAGGUAUCUGACAUACCUUCUGGGCUCUAUAGGUACUAUACUCAUGUGAAUGCCCUGCCUCUGCACACAAAUAAAUAAAACUUAAAAAGUAAACUAGAUUUUCAAAGCAGCAAAAGAUAAAGGCUGAAAGUGUAUUUUCACCAGUGCCUUCAUGCUUCUUGACAUUUGCCGCUUGUGCUGCUGUUCUUGAGUCCUUUGUUAAGCUACCUAUAUACCCAUUUCUUCUAGAUUGUUCUGACUAUAUAUUUAUUUAAAUUCACCUCAGGAAAGGUUUCUUUUCCCUUUUCCCUGCACCCUAAGCACCUCAGCUUCUUGCCUGGUCUCUGGAUGAGGCAUCCUUGUACAACAGAGACAUCUAUGUUGGGGGAACAUGGGCUUAGAGUCUGGUAUCUCUCCAUGCCAAUAGCAGCUCUUAUGCAAUGUGAGUUGCUGUGAUAAAAUGUGUAAGGUAGAUAGAUGGCUUAUGGACGACCAAUGACAGUUUCCCAUGGUUUUGGAGAAGGCAGAAGUCCAAGUUCAAGGCAUCUGCGUACUCUGUGUCUACAGAGGGAUGUUGAGAGACAAUUUAAUCGAGAUGUGUUCUGACUAUUCUACAGAAGGGGUGAUUAUCUCUCCAGGAUCCAUAAGGACACUAAGCCCUCUGAUAAAUUCUCCAUUCUCAUGACCUCAUUCCAACCCCAUGACUCCGUCGUCUUCUUUAUGUCAUCCCUAAGGAUUGGGAUGGUAGCAUGUGAGUGUUUGACCUCAAUAUUCAGAUCAUUGUACAGACUUCAUGAACUGGGUAACUAUUCAUUAAAUAUCUGCUUUGAGAGAUGCUCUGAUGUAGGCAUUAAGGGACAGCGGUGGCCAAAGUACAGUGCCUGUCUAAGUUCUCAAUGUGUGGUAUUGGGGAAGACAGUGGAAAUCAAAAAGCCAGUAAGGAUGUGAGCAGCUAUUGUCUGCACUGCCUUUAUCAUUUCAUUACAUCAUCAUUAAAUACUGGUAAUAUGUGACUAACCAAUGACCACUGAGUAGGAUCACAUGAAACUGAGAGUCUCAACCCAUGUGUUCCAACCCCUUUGGCAAACUUCUAGC
rnacentral:lncRNA from 1 species